rnacentral:rRNA from 1 species
AGGGUUCGAUUAUGGCUCAGGAUGAACGCUAGCUACAGGCUUAACACAUGCAAGUCGAGGGGAAACGACAUCGAAAGCUUGCUUUUGAUGGGCGUCGACCGGCGCACGGGUGAGUAACGCGUAUCCAACCUGCCCAUCACUUGGGAAUAACCUUGCGAAAGUAAGACUAAUGCCCAAUGAUAUCCCACGAAGACAUCUGAAUGGGAUUAAAGAUUUAUCGGUGAUGGAUGGGGAUGCGUCUGAUUAGCUUGUUGGCGGGGUAACGGCCCACCAAGGCGACGAUCAGUAGGGGUUCUGAGAGGAAGGUCCCCCACAUUGGAACUGAGACACGGUCCAA